rnacentral:rRNA from 1 species
UGUGUAGGCGGUUUGGUAAGUCUGGUGUGAAAUCUCCCGGCUCAACUGGGAGGGUGCGCCGGAAACUGCCGGACUCGAGUGCGGGAGAGGAGAGUGGAAUUCCUGGUGUAGCGGUGAAAUGCGUAGAUAUCAGGAGGAACACCGGCGGUGUAGACGGCUCUCUGGACCGUAACUGACGCUGAAACACGAAAGCGUGGGUAGCAAACAGGAUUAGAUACCCUGGUAGUCCACGCCCUAAACGAUGCAUAUUUGGUGUGGGUCAUUCAGUUGAUCCGUGCCGGAGCUAACGCGUUAAAUAUGCCGCCUGGGGAGUACAGUCGCAAGGCUAGAA